rnacentral:rRNA from 1 species
CUUCGGGGAUGAGAGAGCGGCGGACGGGUGAGUACACGUGAGAAUUUGCCCUUUAGUGAGGAAUACCCCUGAGAAAUUAGGGUUAAUACCGCAUAAGUUCCUUCGGGAAGAAANNNNNNCUCUUUGCUGCCGCUNNNNNAUAAGCUUGCGGACUAUUAGCUAGUUGGUAGGGUAAAGGCCUACCAAGGCGAUGAUGGAUAGCCGGCCUGAGAGGGUGAACGGCCACACUGGAACUUAGACACGGUCCAGACUCCUACGGGAGGCAGCAGUGGGGAAUAUUGCGCAAUGGGCGAAAGCCUGACGCAGCGACGCCGCGUGGGGGAUGAAGGUCUUCGGAUUGUAAACUCCUGUUAAGUGGGAAGAAAGAUCUUCUUUUAAUAGAAGAAGAGGAUGACUGUACCAUUAGAGAAAGCACCGGCUAACUUCGUGCCAGCAGCCGCGGUAAUACGAAGGGUGCUAGCGUUAUUCGGAUUUAUUGGGCGUAAAGGGUGUGUAGACGGCGUAUUAAGUCAACUGUUAAAUUCUCCGGCCUAACUGGGGGUCAGCGGUAGAAACUGAUAUGCUAGAGGAUGAAAGAGAGAAGUGGAAUUCUCGGAGUAGCGGUAAAAUGCGUAGACCUCGAGAGGAACACCGAUGGCGAAGGCAGCUUCUUGGUUCAUUCCUGACGUUGAGACACGAAAGCGUGGGGAGCAAACAGGAUUAGAUACCCUGGUAGUCCACGCUGUAAACGAUGAUCACUGGACGUCAGUUCUGUUUUGCAGAAUUGGUGUCGUAGCUAACGCGCUAAGUGAUCCGCCUGGGGAUUACGAUCGCAAGAUUAAAACUCAAAGGAAUUGACGGGGGCCCGCACAAGCGGUGGAACAUGUGGUUUAAUUCG